AGCGGGGUGGAGCAGUCUGGUAGCUCGACAGGCUCAUAACCUGUAGGUCGGCCGUUCAAAUCGGCCCCCCGCAACCA
rnacentral:tRNA from 1 species